ensembl:lncRNA MEG3 maternally expressed 3
ACGUGGGAAGGGACCUCGAAUGUGGGACCCCAGCCCCUCUCCAGCUCGAAAUCGAGCUACAACUCUCCUUGGCCUCCUCUUGUGACUCCCAACUCCCUCCUUGGGAAGCUUGGCCUCAGGACCUCUGGGAUAGACAGGCCACGAAUCCUGCUGUGUCCCGUUGUGUUCCUAAUAUAAAUGGUGUGGAUGGCACUUGACCUAGAGCAGUGGGAAAUGCAUGCACCACUCAACAUUCUGACAUGUCACCCAUUUUACAUUCUUACAGGCAUACUUUUUUUAAAAAAAGAGUGUCUAUUCUUUAAUGAGCAUCCCUUCUUUAAAAAAACCUAAUUGCCAUUAUUCACCACAUACACUUUUUUUUUUUUGUAUCCUGCCUCUUCUAUUUAAUUUUCUGUCAUCAACAUUUUCCCUUGUUCCAUGAAUCUUCAUAACCUCACUUGCUGCGUUGUGCCUUGUUGAGUGGCUAUGGCAUCAUUCACAGAACCAUUCUGUUAUUCUUAUGUAUAACCACCUUUUAAAAAUAUUAUGAAUAAUGCCACAACUAACUGCUUAAAACACCCUUUUUUUCAUUCUUAAGAAUUAUGUUCUUCCACCCAGAAAUUAUCAUUGCUUCACUACAGAUCAGUUUCCCCUGCUAGACUGUGAGCCCCAUAAGGGCAAGGAGCUUAUUGAAUUGGCCUUUGUAUCUCUGAUGCCCAACAUGUUGUAGACUAUAAAUAAAUGAUGAAUGAGUGGAUGGAAGAAUGGAGGAAGGAGCGAGUGAGUGAGUGUUUGGCUGAUGGAUAAGAGGGUGGAAGGAUAGGCGGAAGGAUGGAUUGGUGAAUGAAUGAAUGAAUUUCCUUUGGUUAAGUCUCUUGAAAGAAAGGCUAUGGAUCUUUGUAUGGAUGUUGAAUAAUUUCAGUAAGCUUACAGCAUUUUACAAUGUUCAGCAAUGUAUGACCACUUAAUUAAGAUAUGGCUAGUUUGUCUCUGUUAUAAAGUACUUUUGCAUUACUUUAACUUGCAUUGCUUUAAUUACUAAUGAUGGGUGAACACUUUGACC